CGGGCCCGCGCGGCAGCAGGAGGGGUGGGCACCGGGGGGGAAGGUGGGCUGGCGGCAGCAUCUCCCGCUCCAUCAUCCCGCUCCAUCGUCCAGCUCCAUCAAUCGUCCCGCGGCAUCCCGGCCGCCCGGGCGCGGGCACCCCGCCCCACUGGAACAGAAGGAAUUAGUAACUGCAGUGCUCGGCACCCCCCGAAGCCCGAGGGUACCUGCCGAGGGCAGGGUCACCCAGCACGGCAACAGGUUGCUCAGCCAGGCUGCGGCUUCCCUGUGUUUGGGGAUAACCGGGAUACGGUGGGACAUGGCCCCGCGCCCCCCAGAGACUCCCCCAGCUGUUAUACUGCCUCCGUCAGUGUCACAGCACAGCUGGGCUUAUGCAUUCAAUUUUUAUAAGGAUGAUCCCGGGUGGUGGAAAAUUCCCGUUACCCCCCAUUUUAUCAUGCCCAGAGUGCAGGGACAGUGUGCAGCAAACAAUACCUCGCGUGUGCCCUGCUGGCUGUUGUACCUGGUGCUCUAAUUCUAAUUAAAACGCUGGUCACUCAUCGGGCCUUCGCGGGAACAGGGAUAAUUUGUAACUCGGUAAUGUUGUAAAUACCCUACGGCGAAGGAAUUGGGAAACGAUUUACAAGGCUACAGGUAAGAGGGUUUACAUGAACACUCCGUUAUUGGGGGGGUUCGUAGGGCUGCUGGUUGUGGCACGUUUCUCCACUAAAAUUAAGGUUAUUUCUCUCACUGUCCUCGCCUGUUACACUGCUCAGGGACUGGGAAGUUUUUCCCAGUACUGACAUUUAUUUCCCUCCUAAUGCUGGAUGAAUGGCACUUUACUGGUGUGUCACCGGUAAGUGAAAAACCUCCAAAACAACCAAAACUCUUUGAUAUCCCCUCAUCCUUUUAAAAAGAUGUUCAUAGCCAUUUUAUCCCCUCCCAGGGGACUGCCCAACAUUGUCACGUUCUGCCCGUUGUUGUCAGGGCAAACACUGGAGUUGUGGUUGUUAACAACACAAGAGAUAAAGCAGGAAAUGAUCCCUGUCUGAGUCACAGAGAAAUUAUUGCUUAUUUUUCUCUUUUCUGUGAACAAGUUGCUAUUUCAGACAUUUUGACACGUUCUUGGGUCAUUGCUUUAUACAUAUAUAUAUAUAUAAAUAUAGUAAAAAAUAUAAAUACUGACUGGUAAAUUUUGUCAAGGCCUUUCCAGUCUCUGCAUUCCACUGAAUUCUUUAUGUCAGUGCCCAGCUCUCUUCACUCCAGUGGGUUCCACUCAUAUGCACAAUAAUAAGGAAUUCUUAAAUGCCAAAAUCUUGGGAAUAUCUGACUUCUUAGUGGUGAACGUCGCUGUUGAUCUAUUGCUGCCUUUCUAAAUUUAUUUAUCUAUUUAUAAACAAAAAAAAGGGGCAAAAAAAGUGAGCAGAUGAGCUUUCAGCUUUUGGCAAAGCAAUAGUUUUUACACUACCUUUAAUUUCUUCCAGGUGGAUAAUUUUGCAGAUGUUUGAGUAGUUUAAAGGAUAUUGGCAAAUGGUUAAACAGUCUUAUUAUUAAUUACUCUUUUGUUUAGGCUUUAAUUCUUGUUAUUAAUUACUCUUUUGUUUAGGCUUUAAUUCUUCCAUCCCCCUGUUUUGUAAUUGUCUUACAGCUGCAACAGCUAUAAAUAUUUUCACUUUAGUAAACCUGAUACAACUUUUCCAGUUUGUUUUCAUAAAUUUUCAUUUGGGAGGGGUUCUUUUUUAGGGAGUAAGUCUACCUUUGAAAGGAAAUUCUAGAAUUGUGGUAUAAGUCUGACCUCAAAGAGAACCCCGAGCUCAAGUUUCUGGAAACCUGUGGAGCAAAGGCCUUUUCCUUCAGUUCAACAGACAGAGCUAAAUAGCAUUUAGUGGGCAAAACUGAACCGUGCCACGGGCCCUGGAGUGAGAAAUUCCUUCGGAGAAACAAGCCUUGUGUUGUUCACCAGGAGGAUUAGCGGUUCCUAAACGCCUGAGUCAUUUCUCAGGCACGGUCCGUGUAGCUGUGACAAAGGACACUCCAGAGCUCCUGACACUCCUCUCAGCGCAGGCAAAGGCCUAUCAACACAGCAGGAAGCAAAACCAGCAGCAGCAGCAGCGUCACCUCCUUUCUCGAGAGGAGAGGAAGAGAAAACCACUGUGUCUUGCAGCAGCUAAGAAGGGCAGGGUGCUGGUAAUUUAUUCCCCAAACAGUCCCUGGCUCACUGAGGGCAGGGCUGAGCAGAAAUCUUUGGACCAACUCAGCCAAGGUAAGUGGGGCUGUGCAGUUACACCUUCCUGCCCUCUGCAGGUUUAAGGCAUCGCUCGGUGUUCUAGUGGUUCUUUUUCAGAUUUUAUUUUGCAACAACAGGCACAGGAAAUGAUGCCAGGAGCAAAACGAGUUCCCUGAGAAGAUGAAGUAACCCUGUGAUUUGCAGAUCUGGGGUCUGGGCACAGAUGAUUGAACGUUUCCAUGUCUUCUGUGUCGAGUCUUCGUGGAACCAAAGGAGGUGCAAGAGAAAGGAGCUGGGGAUGCUUCACCUGUACAAGAACAAACACUGCUCUUCAAACAACAAGGAUCAGUGCUCCUGAGGACUCCCGACAGCCAUGCCAAAAAAUGGAAACCUUCCCUAUUCGGCUUGGGAUCAGAGGAACAACUCAAAAGACAAACAUUUCAAUGCAUUCCGAGGGUUGUCCAUCAAAGAAGGAAUCAGCCAUCAAAGGCUGACACCUUCCUGUCCAGGGGUGAGUUGUCUCACCUCUCUGAGGUGGCUGCAGUCCAGUUCCUUCUGGCUCUGAUGCCUCUGCAAACGUCAGCCCUGGCAGCCACUCGUCCUGGUCCAAGUCCGUGUGUCCCUGAAAAUGAGGUAAAUGCUCUUACACUUGGUGGGACAGAGUGGAAAUCACAGACACUUUGGGGCUUCUCCACAGGUUUUCAGGCCUCUUAGUCCUGAAAAAAAAACCCAAACAAACCAAACCAAAACCGAAAAUAAAACUCCUCAGACUGUUUCUGGAGAGCUUUUCUGAAAUUUUAUCUUGUGCUGAUGUUUCCGGUUCAAAUAAGGAACCGUAAAUCAUCUGAGACCAAACAGAUGACGAGGCAUUUCAUAGAGACAUUGUGCAGUAUUUAUCUCAAACAGCUUCUGCAGGAACGGUGCUCGACAGCCGUGCAGGCCAACUGCAGGAUGAGGAUGGGGGAGCAAAACCACCUGAAACUCUUUAAUCCCAUUUUUAACGUUAUGGAAUCUCAGCACAAAACGUUUUCUCCGGGAGCCAGCUGGUGUUAGGAACACGUGACUACUACGUGGGCUAUCAACCUCUUCCAGCCAGUCUCUAAUUCCUAGAAAUUGCUUUAUGCCCAAGUCAUUACUGCCUAAUUAGAGCCCACAAGGGAAGUUCCAUGGCACUGUGGGCACAAUUGCAUGUUUGGAGGCUCCUGCCAGACACAGGGACUGUAAGUGCUUGGUUGGUCAGGCUCGUACAAAAAUGCUUUUGUAGCUGCCUUCAAGGGCUGGGAGUUUAUUGGCAGUUAUUUCACCCAUGGAUCACCAGGUUCUUAUUCAGAACCAAGACUGCAGAGUUUUCCUUUGCCCUUCCUUAUUUCUUUUGUUUUGAGUUCACUCAAAAGGUCUGGUUUUGGGGGCGGGGGGGGGGAAGACCUG